rnacentral:piRNA from 1 species
CGGCGGUGGCGGCGGCGGCGGCGGGACC